GAAACUCUCAGGCGCGGCUCUUUUGCCGGGCCUGGAUCAUGUCAGAGAGGCAGGGCACCAGCGGUCGCGCUGCCCUUUGUAAAACCAUGGAUAUUGUUAAGAUUUGUUUCAUUCCAACGUGAUAGAAUGUUUCAUUCGUUGGUAUUGUCAACUUCAGAUGUUGCCAAAAGACCCACAAAAUUCUUACAUAU
rnacentral:misc_RNA from 1 species